rnacentral:rRNA from 1 species
CGGGUGAGUAACAUAUCGGAACGUACCCUGGGGUGGGGACAACGCCGCGAAAGCGGCGCUAAUACCGCAUACGGUCUACGGAAGAAAGUGGGGGACCUGUCAAAAGGCCUCACGCCCCUGGAGCGGCCGAUAUCUGAUUAGCUAGUUGGAGAGGUAAAAGCUCCCCAAGGCGAUGAUCAGUAGCUGGUCUGAGAGGACGACCAGCCACACUGGAACUGAGACACGGUCCAG